rnacentral:lncRNA from 1 species
UGAUGAUAAAAAAGAAAGAAUUAAAAAUCGAAAAAGAAGGGGUAAAGCUAUACAAAUAAUAAAACCAAAUGUGAACCAUACAGAAUUAAUAAUAAUAGAAGAGAAUUUAGAAGUGUUAAAAAACAUUGAUAAACCAAUUGCUAUAGUAUCUGUUUUAGGAGAUAUGCAUACAGGUAAAUCUUUUUUACUUAAUUUAUUAAAUGAUUAUGUAGUGGAUGAUAUUAAUAUGGAUAAUAAAAUUAUAGAAAAUGGUUUUAAAGUAGGUAAUGAUAUAACAGCUAGCACAUAUGGUAUAUGGAUAUGGUCAGAACCGAUUAAAAUAAAUGUAAAGAAAUUAAGAGAAUUAUAUAAUUAUAUAGACAAUAAUUUUACUAAUUUUGUUAAAAAUUAUGAAUAUGAAAAAGAUGAAUAUAACGAAGAAAUUAUAGAUUUAUUAAACUUAUAUAAAACAGAUGAUUGGAUCACUAACAUUGACGAUUUAAAAUUAUCCGAAACGGAUGAGGUGAAUCUUAUAUUAAUGGAUACACAAGGUUUAAAUAGUCCUAAUGUAAAUAAAAGAUACGAUGAGAUAUUAUAUGCAUUAACUAAUUUAAUAUCAACAGAUAUUAUUUUUUUAACAAUGAAAAUGAUAAAUAAUAAAGAUUUAGAGUUUAUUGAAAAUAUUACAAAGGAUGCUAAUUUGUUUAUGUUACGAGCUUAUACGAGAUCUAAUGGUUCAACUUUUUCAAUAAAAAAAAAUAAUUUAGAUAUGAUAUUAAAUAACAUGGAUACUAACUUAGAAAAUAAUUCAUUAAUUUUGGAAAGUAUUGCAUCUAAAAAUUUGAUGUGGGUAGUACACGAUUUUAAUCAACGUUUAGAUGUAAGAAAAGGAAAAUUGUGGUUAAACAUUUUAUUAAAUUCAGAUAGAAGAGAUUUAGAUAUUAAAUACUGGAAAAAAAUUAUAUCUAAUAAAAGUAAAGAAAAAUAUGAUGCAUAUACAACAAAACAAAAGAAAAUAGAAUAUUUAACAUAUUCAGAUAACACAGGCCAUAGUGGUGGUGACGUUAAAGAUAAAUUAAAAAACGAAACAUCAAGUAAUUAUAAGUUAGAUGUUCUUUAUAAAAAUAUAGAUUGUAUUUUGUUAAGAACAAUGUACAAUAAUAAAAAUUUUGAUUUUACUAAUGUGAACCUGAGCGAUUUAAACGAUGAAUAUAAAAAUGAUGUUACAUUAUUAAAAUAUAAAAUAUAUUUAAGAGCUUUGUUAUAUCCGAAAAAAAUGUAUACAAAUGUUCAGAUGAAUUAUGCUAUACAUAAGGAUAAAAAAGGGGGCAAUAGUAAUGAAUCUAUUUUUACUACAGAAAAAAACAAAAAAGAUAAUAGUAAUAGUAAUGGUCAGAAUAAAGAUGACACAAAAUUGAAUGGUUCGAAUAUGCGUAAUAGAUAUAUGUCAGGGCAAGAUGUGUAUGAUUUUAUCACCUUUUUAAUUAAAUCGGCUAAUCAAAAUUUAUUUACCAACAUCAAUCAAUUUUUUAAAAAUUUCAAAAUAAAUAGAGCAGAAAUAAGUAGAAACGAUUUAAUUUUUUUAUAUAAAAAAUAUUUAUUACAAUUUAUGGAAAAUGAAGAUGUAAAGUUUUUUAAGCUAUAUGAAUGAAGAGAAUGAAUAUAUAAAUAGUGAUUUGGAAAACAAUUUAAAUAGUGAUAAUGUGAAUGAAAAAAAGUAGUAUGAGCAAUCGAUUUGAAGAAGAAUUAUUUAAUGAAGAUUUUUUAGACGAAAGCGAAAUGUUUAAAAAAUGAAAAGGAUAAAAAAGAUUUAUAUAAAUUACCACCAUUACUUAAUGAAAUAAGAAAAUAUGAAGAAAUAAUUAGAGAACAGAUUUUAAAUAUUUGGUAUAAAUAUACAGAAAGUGAUUUUCAUGAUGAGGAAGAAAAAGAAUUGAUAAAAGAUAUUGAAUCUAAUUUAUAUGACAGAUUAGAUCAAAUAAAACAAGAUAUGUUAGAACUAGGUG